rnacentral:lncRNA from 1 species
CGUUCCUAGCCGUUGUAACGGCUGAACUUGGUGUCUGGGACUGGUACAUGCGCGAGUCCGGCCGGAGGAAGGAGCGGGCAGGGUCGGCGGCCGGUCUUCAGUCCCUGAACCAGUCUUGCUGCCUCUUCUCAACUGGUUUUUUGCCGCAAGUGAAAAUAUUUCUAGUAACCUGUCCAGAGUUCCUUUCUCGCACAUCUCUGACGGCUGUCCCCGAACUCGGCGCCGGGCGGGAGGACGAAGGAAGCCCCCAGGAGCCCUUCUCCAAAAAUGGAUUGUGCCCAGCUUUCUGUCCACUGGGUCGGUGGUAGAUGUUGUGGACAGCUACUCUAGCUGUAGAGAUUUCAGAUGGAAGGCCAGAUAGACCAAAAAACCAACUGAUCCAUGCAGAAUCAUUAGCUUGGCGCUAGUUAUGGUGUAUUUGGGGAACACUGCAUGCUGAGAAGAAAAUGGUCCUUUUAUCAUUUUUCAAGCAUAGAUAAUUGUUUUUAAACUAAUAAUGUAUGUGAGUAUAGCAUCAAUUGCUGUCAUUUCUGCUUCUAUUUCACCAUAAAUGUGCCAGGAGAGAUGCUCUUCCAAGAAUAGCAAAUAAGAGCACCUGAAGUCAUGGGACUACUAAAGGUCUCCCAAAGAACAUUGAUAGGUACUCAGUUGCUGUCUAAGUCGCAGUGCAUUUCUCUUAAUUGCUCGCAAGCUGGUGCCCUAAAUCUCAAGGGAAGAUGAAUGUGGUGGGAAGUCCUCUAUAGUUUUCCCCCAUGGUUAGUAAACUGAAUCCUUCUUUUCUACCAUUGGAUAUUAGAGGGUUUCAUUAUCGACCAGAGUCCACAGUUUUACUGAUAGGACUUUAAUCCUCCUUGGGUACUAUAUGUAGACCUAGCAGACCAGAGAAGCGUGGGAAAUUAGCCACCAGCUUAGAUCUGUACAGGAAGAAGCAGCAAAUGUCCAAAUCUCACUCCCCAUCUCAUCUAUACCUUUAAAAUAAUUUUGCAUCUUUGAAGGAUUACUUCCAUUGGAGGCAGCUGGAGCCUGUGAUCAUCCAGCACAUCAUCAUCUUUUGUCCCCCAUUCCUUCAAAUUCCAUCCUCCUCAAGGAGAUCCAAGGAUAUGCCCUCCCCCUCCCCCAUCUGUUACCAUUACUAAGAUUUUCACUUUAAAAUCUGACAAGAGAUUCUUGUAUGUCCCAUCAAUAUUGGGUAACAGAAAUGAGGUUAAGCCACGGGAUGGAGUUAAUUAAAUAAGUAAAUUUUCAUGGAGAGAGCUCAUGCAGAGGGAAGGGCCAAUCAGAGCCUCUGAUACCUGUCCAUACUGAAGAUCUCUACUUAAUCAUCUAAUUCAAAGUAUCCUCCUGACUUGGAAACCUAUUUUCUGCUACAGUUAAAAGUGGAACUCCUCAUUAUUGACCUGGAUUUAACCCAAGCAAUGAUGGACCAUUGUAUAGUGACUUAGAAAUACAGAAUGAGGAAUUUGUUGUCAAACUAUGGCUCCUUUCUCAUAGCUGAUUGCUUUCACUUAUCAGACUAUGUAUUACCUCCUUUAGAUGAUAAAAUAUUGCCUGUUUUUAUUUUUUUUAAAUUAUCAUCAGAAUGGUCAGGAAGCCCAGAUUGAUGGGAAGGACUUGAUCCACUUGGGAAAUGGGACAAAACAAGUUGAAAUC